rnacentral:rRNA from 1 species
UACAGGGGGGGCAAGCGUUGUUCGGAAUUACUGGGCGUAAAGGGCUCGUAGGCGGCCAACUAAGUCCGACGUGAAAUCCCAAAGCUUAACUUUGGAACUGCGUCGGAUACUGGAUGGCUUGAAUUCGGGAGAGGGAUGCAGAAUUCCAGGUGUAGCGGUGAAAUGCGUAGAUAUCUGGAGGAAUACCGGUGGCGAAGGCGGCAUCCUGGACCAUUACUGACGCUGAGGCGCGAAAGCUAGGGGAGCAAACGGGG